UGCUGUAAGUGCAUUUCCAGAAAGUUGUGGGAAUCAGCCAUCACUGCUGAGUGCACAGCCCCUGCAGCCAGCAUUCUGGGAUGCACACACUUGCCUGGUUGCCUGGUUACGGAGCAGAGGAGGAAAGGGGAGCUGGGAGGAGGCAGCCUGGAAUGGCAGCAGGUGGACUGCACAAUGCUGGAACUGCCAGGAGUCUUUUUGUUUUGAUAAAUACAUGGACUUUCUCCAGAUUUACUGUGUCACAGCCUGGGCAGACACAGUGACCUCGCUGUGAGGUGCUAAUGGAGCUGGUUGCCUGCAGAGGGCCAGUAUGGUCAUCAGCAUGGAUCCCUGCUUUGGACAAGAACGAGAAAAGCAUGAGCUAUUUCCAGCUCCCCUGGCUGGGAACACUGACUCGGACUUCUUGCUCUCCAGCCUCAGAGCUCAGUAAGAGACAGACAGACAGCUUCUGGACCAAACUCAAGGACUAACAAGCCCCAUGCCAAGAUUAUCCUGCCCCCGCCGGAGCCUGAAGAGCUGCUCAAUCACACACCAGCCUGGGUGAGUCGGCUCUAGAUGUCCACCGAGGCCAGGUCAGCAAAGGGGUCACUGAGAGCCUCUUGGCUACUGAGCCACUGUCCAGCAAGGGACCCCAGAAUUCCGCAUUGCCUGGUAGCAUCUAGGCCUGCUCAGAUGGUAGCCAUAACAUCCACUCCACAGGUGCUUGAGAUUGACCAAGGUAGGACUGAACCCACAGAAAGUGGGCCAUCAAAGGGCUCACAGGCACAGGCUCUGAAACACACAUCUGAUUCUGCCACUUACAGGUCAAAGGACUUUGAUGUGGGUCCUCUCUUUUCUCUGGCCUGAGUUUUCCAGUGAGGCAAUGAUGACACACAGACUGACCUAACAGAGCCUUCGAUAAGUAGAGACAAGGUAAACAAAGGACAUAACAAGGAAUCUUCCACACAUGCAUGUCCCAUAAGGAGGGUGACCAUCCUUACUCCAACUCAUCUUUUACCCUAAUUACUCACAACACUCAACUUUCCAUUCAAAGAGUCCUAGUUUGAGUGACAAAGGUUAUGGUCACCCUAUUAAUAGUUGACAAUGACAAUGACUCACAGGGGCAGAGGCCUUCUGGGGAACCUGGAGAGGUCGCUGCAUGGGAACAAGCUUGAGCACCAUGGUGUGGAACUGCGUUGCUGGCAUCUUUUGGUUCUGUACCACUCAGCUAUGCUGUGCCCAAGGAAAAGGACAUGAGCCUGACACACAGUGGAUUGAAUGAUGUGCAGAUGACAGAUGAGAUGUUUUGUUUGAAAGGGAUUCUGUCCCCUGUGAGCCUUUGGUCCUGCUGAAGCUAUGGCCAUCAAAAGCAAGGCCAGUAGGAGACAGAUGAGGAGCCCAGAGCAGGCAUCUGCAGAGCUGUGGGGAAGCCAGGUCCUGUUCACACAAAUCAGGAAGAUUCAGGAAAGGGCUGGACCUGGGCCACCUGAAAACCCUCUGAAGAUAAUUCAAGAACUUUCUUCUUGAUACUGUUUUCCCUCAAAUACUUCAUCCCUCUGUUUUCCCUUCAGUGAGGAGCUCUCUGGUGACAACACAGAUGACAAUGACCAGGACACAGAAACUGACACGGCUCUACAACCCAGAAAGAACAGCCAUUUUUGCCUGAGUUGGGAUGAAGAGCCACCAUAUUGUUGGUCUUUUCUUCACCCUAAUUGGAAAGGGUAGGACUGUAACCACCAUUCCCAAGGACAGAAAAGUGGAACCUGGAAAGAUGAAGCCUUUCCUUAAGGUGACCCAGCUGGAUAUGGUAGAAUUCCACCUGGAAUCUACCAUCCAGGGAAACUGAGCUCAAGUGGCUCCUACACUGGGAUAGCUUGUUUGCCAGGGUAGGGUCUGUGUCCAAACUGUGGCUGCUCCUUCUCAACAGCCCUGGGUCCCAGAGAAGAAGACAGAGUCAGCUAUGAAGGAUCAAGAACACCCCUCUGAGGAAGGCUUGCCUUCAGAAUACAGCACACAGAUACACUGUUCAGUUUUCCAUUACUGUAACAAACACCUGAGAGGAUCCACGUGUGAGGAGGAAAGGUUUAUUUCCAGUUUACUGCUUUAGAGGAUAACAGCCCCAGAGCUGGAGGAGUGAUUCAUUGUGCAGGAAGGAUGUCAGUGCUGGCUGGACUUGGCAUGUGUAUCGUCAGAGCAUCAGAGUAUCGUCAUGGUGAAAGCCAGGGUGAGUGUGGCAUUGGGUGAAGAUCAAGAUCAAUGUGUCAUCAAAGUGAAAGUUAAGGCCUGAUCAAGUGGUACAAAGUGUUUUCUGCUGUCAUCACAACAUUCCUGAGAAUGAGUAAUUCAUUCUCAGGUGCUGGUUUUCUUGGCUUAUGAUUCUGGAGGCUGGAAGUUGGAGAACAAGGCAGCAGAGUCUGCUCAACAUCUGGCAAAUGUACUGUUUCCUGGGGGAGGACGUUAUGAGGUGAGACAGACCAAGUGUGCCAGUGCACGUCUUUCUUCCUCUUCUUCCAAAGCCACUAAUGCCAUCCUAGGGUCCCACCUCAUGACCUCAUUGGAAUGGCCAAUUGACCAGCCUGCAAAUGCUCUUAUCAUCUGAACUUGGGGAUAAUAUUUCAACACAGGAACUUUGGGGGACACAUUCAAAUCACAGAGAAUCUCUGAUUUCUAAGGCCUGGAGCACAAGGUUCAGGCAAGCAUAUGACAGGAGAAUCUGGGGAGCAGAUGGGCCUGGAAGGGUUAGAGUGCAAGGAUCUAGUCACAUUGGCUGUAAGCACAAACUUGGCCCAGAAAAGGAAGGGCUGGUUACUAGGACAGAGCUACAAGAGCAGAAUGAGAUGAGAGGGGCAUUGGGUCCCCUGUCUCCAACUCAGAGUUCCUCAAAUGCCCCUUGACUCAGGCUGUGACAGUGGUUGCCACUGGAGGUGCAGGUCACCAGGAGGUGGGGCACAGGCUGACGCAGAGGUGGGCACACUGUGAGAACCAUUGUUUGCUGAAUGCGCUGCGUAUCCCUUUUUCCUCCCCUUGCUCCCCAUUCCUGCUUCCCUUUGACAGAGGUCUACCGCCCUGUUCACUAGCCUUAACUUUUACUUUGUUUUUAAUUGACUUAUAUGUCAGCAGUCUUUAGUCCGGGAACUGUGGCCUUGGUGACGACGGUCCUUGUGAAUGAUGGCUUAGUGAUUGAGAAGACAAGCUUGUGUCUUGCGAUCAGCAAAAUGUCAGUUAAUGGCAGGGGGACCCCAGAUGUCUGUCAUUUUUCUCCUCUCUGAGACACAAUACCUGAUACUCACAACUUAUUUGGGCUCACAUGUUAGUCCACAGAGGGGUGGCGCAUGGCAGAGGGUCAUGGCGGAGGAGAGCUGCUCAAGGAAUGGAGGACAGGAAGCAGAGAGCAGAGGGAGGAGCUGGGAAAGGAAAUGAACCCUUCUGAGCCACAGCUCCAGCCACUGCCUCUUCUGACCAGACCCCAUCUCCGAAGAGGAAGUCAGCGGUGAGCGCCCCCAUGAUCCAUGCAUCUUCCAAAAACCCUGCCUGUAAGCAGGAGGCUUUGGGGGGACACAUCUAGACAGAAACCAUAGCCCCAGCUUCUAUGUGUCUCUGAGAGCAUCUUGCACAGCCUUUGUAAGCAGUGCCCCCACUGGUAUUUCCGACAAGAACCGAUUUCCCCAAAGUAGGUUGGGAGCUCCAGAGAAGCUUGUGAACUCUCACUUUGAUUUUUCCAUGUUGAAAUUCAAAGAACAUGAACUUCAAAGUUCAUUGGAGAGGGAAAAAAUACUUUUUAAAUAUGAAAUACGCUUGGCAGGAAGGGAAUUGAAAACUGGCAGGGAGAUGGGAGACCCGAGCUGUGGCCCAGCAAACGCGCCCCAUGGCUGGCCUCGCCUUUGGCUAGGGCUGGAUCCUCGGCUGCGGUGGCUGGUGCUGCCCUGGAUGCAGAGUCCCUGAGCCCAGGUGCAUCGGUGGGUGUCCAGCACCUUCAGCCAGGUCCACUUGUCUCGAGCUCUGUCAUUGAAAUCACUUUUCCACGCGAGCCAUAGUGUCACUUGGUCAGCUCAGUGCUGCCCGAGCUCUCUGCAAACUGCUCUGCUCUCUUUAUUGACCUUUGCCAGAAAAAAGAAAUGGGGGACACUGAUUAAGGGUAGGGGGCAUCGUUUUCCAGCACAACAUGAAUAUGAGCCAAGCUGAGCCCUGCCAGGAACUACUUUUAAGGUGCAGGCAGGUAUCCUGCAUCCUCAGUGGUUUUCCUGGGAUUUUUAUGUUUGUGAGCCUGUGUUUGCAGCACAGGCUGAUUGCAUUCACGGCAGGGAGUUGGUGCACGGACAGAACACAUCUUGACUGGGUUCUUCUUUUUAUCCCUUUUUCCUCCCCUUGCUCCCCACUCCUGCUUCCCUUUGACAGAGGUCUACUGCCCUGUUCACUAGCCUUAACUUUUACUUUGUUCUUUAAUUGACUUACAUGUCAGCAGUCUUUAGUCUAGGAACUGUGGCCUUGGUAACGGUCCUUGUGAACGAUGGCUUAGUGCUUGGAAGAACGAGCUUGUGUCUUGCAAUCUGGCAAAAUAGUCUACACUGGGAAGAACUGGAGGAUGAGGUUAGGAGUGAAUCCACUCUCCUGGCCCCCUGGGACAUCCAUUACCUUUGCUGACUGCCAUCCCUUCCCAUCUUCUCUAGACAUCAGCACUGAGUUUCCCACUCAUGACCCAAUUCUCCCACUGUCAGCUUCUCAGAUCUGGGUGAACCUGACUGUCCCGGCUCCAACUGGCAUCAGCCAAACUUGAAAAAAAUCACAAAAUCAACUGCCAUGCUUUGGGUUCUAGAGUCAAAGGGGUCUAACAUUAUAAAAUGACUUUUUCAAAUAAACCCAUAUGGCAAAUUUAUAAUAAACUGUGCUCUUGGCCCUGAUCUCUCCCUCUCUUUCUCUUGAAAGUGCCAACAGAUGAUGCUGGUACAGGCUAUUCUGUCCUCAGGCAUUGGGGGACAUUUAUACAAAUGACCAAUGGGAACAAAUUAGAUUCUAUAUUAUGUUGAUGAAUCUCAGCAGGCGCAAGCCCCCUUCUGAUCUAACAACUAGAGCUACCUCAGCUAUAGCAAAAUGUGAGUCAAAGUUUGCAAAGGACCAGAGUGGAAGUUUUAAUGCAUCUUGAAAUUUUGUCCUUCUAACACCAAUAUUAAUGCAGAUCAAAGAGACGCAUCCACAGCUUGGUUGACAUGAGACUGCCUCACAGAAAGUCUGUCAUUGCUUUGCCCACAAAUCUCUUCAUUUCUGGCCAGGCUUUUGGCUAGCAUAGUGCUGAUGGUUGAGCUCAGUUUCCUCCCAACUGGACCUGGUCAUGGUAUACUCUGUGGUCUAAAGACCUUGACAUGGUGGUAUCAUUUGUCCAUGAAGACUUGCCAGUGGCAACCAUUGGUAGUAAAGCUAAGAACCACGCCACAUGGUAUCAGAUUCUCAGGUCCGUCUCUUGGAAAGUACUUUUGUCCCCCAGGGAACUUGGAGAUUGAAAGAAAGGGCAAUGUGGGUGCCUCUGGAAACAACACCAAGUUUCAUCUUUGUGUGGCUCAAUAUGCCCAGUUAGGGACUGCAAGAGCUUUUCUAGUGGUUGUGGAAAAAGGGCCAUCUACUCAGGCCUGUGACGCUCUGUCCCCCUUGGACUGGCUAGUGUCAGGCUCUGGGCACAGGGAGACCAGGAAGUAUCCCCUGGAAAUCUACUGGGGCGGGGUGGGGAGGAAGCAGUCACCUCAGUGUGAGACCUCCCUGCAGAGGAGUCCAUCCUGCAAGGCUUUUGCUAGCAAAAAAGAAAUUCUCUUUCCUCAAGAAUGUCUCACAAAGGAUCACAAAGGAUCACGCAGAAUUGGGCUCCAUCCUUCUCUGUGCAGGCAGUCCUCUGCCAAAUUCACAGGUGAAAAGCUUGCCAAACAAUUUGGGACUCACAGAUGUUCAGCUAAAUAAAAGAAAGAACUGGCAA